rnacentral:tRNA from 1 species
GGCAGCAUGCCAGAGUGGUUAGUGGGUGGGACUUGAAAUCCCAUGGGCCAGGUUCGAACCGCUGCUGUCGACGGCCU